GGAGCGAGGUGAGCGAAGCGCCUCGUUUCGGGCUCUAGCGACAGAGAAAAGGAUAUGGGGCCUAGCAGGGCAGCUCGGAAUCAGUCACCAGUUACUUCAAUUGAAUUGGAUUUGGCUGCAACGCUGUUUACCCCUGAAACUCCAGAAGUGUUUUGUGGACUCAAACACUUUACCCACCCAUCCAUCAGCAUAGUGCAUCUGUCCAGAAUAUGACCAAGCCGAACAGGGGGAUGUUGAAGGAGAGCAGAUGACAUGCAGUCGCAACGAUUAGACACAGAGGGGCCAUAAUAGGGAAG